GGUUAAGCGACUAAGCGUACACGGUGGAUGCCCUGGCAGUCAGAGGCGAUGAAGGGCGUGCUAAUCUGCGAUAAGCGCCGGUAAGGUGAUAUGAACCGUUAUAACCGGCGAUACCCGAAUGGGGAAACCCAGUGUGAUUCGUCACACUAUCAUUAACUGAAUCCAUAGGUUAAUGAGGCGAACCGGGGGAACUGAAACAUCUAAGUACCCCGAGGAAAAGAAAUCAACCGAGAUUCCCCCAGUAGCGGCGAGCGAACGGGGAGGAGCCCAGAGCCUGAAUCAGCAUGUGUGUUAGUGGAAGCGUCUGGAAAGGCGCGCGAUACAGGGUGACAGCCCCGUACACAAAAGCGCAUAUGCUGUGAGCUCGAUGAGUAGGGCGGGACACGUGGUAUCCUGUCUGAAUAUGGGGGGACCAUCCUCCAAGGCUAAAUACUCCUGACUGACCGAUAGUGAACCAGUACCGUGAGGGAAAGGCGAAAAGAACCCCGGCGAGGGGAGUGAAAAAGAACCUGAAACCGUGUACGUACAAGCAGUGGGAGCCCCACCACUAAGCCAGUGGUGAACUCCACAUACGCAUCCUUUGCUGAGGAGACGGUUAACGGAGCGAAAGCGACGUUCAACCUCAAAAGAAGCAGAGGGGGCUUAGUGGUGGGGUGACUGCGUACCUUUUGUAUAAUGGGUCAGCGACUUAUAUUCUGUAGCAAGGUUAACUGUAUAGGGGAGCCGGAGGGAAACCGAGUCUUAACCGGGCGUUAAGUUGCAGGGUAUAGACCCGAAACCCGGUGAUCUAGCCAUGGGCAGGUUGAAGGUUGGGUAACACUAACUGGAGGACCGAACCGACUAAUGUUGAAAAAUUAGCGGAUGACCUGUGGCUGGGGGUGAAAGGCCAAUCAAACCGGGAGAUAGCUGGUUCUCCCCGAAAGCUAUUUAGGUAGCGCCUCGUGAAUUCAUCUCCGGGGGUAGAGCACUGUUUCGGCUAGGGGGCCAUCCCGGCUUACCAACCCGAUGCAAACUGCGAAUACCGGAGAAUGUUAUCACGGGAGACACACGGCGGGUGCUAAUGUCCGUCGUGAAGAGGGAAACAACCCAGACCGCCAGCUAAGGUCCCAAAGUCAUGGUUAAGUGGGAAACGAUGUGGGAAGGCCCAGACAGCCAGGAUGUUGGCUUAGAAGCAGCCAUCAUUUAAAGAAAGCGUAAUAGCUCACUGGUCGAGUCGGCCUGCGCGGAAGAUGUAACGGGGCUAAACCAUGCACCGAAGCUGCGGCAGCGACACCGUGUGUUGUUGGGUAGGGGAGCGUUCUGUAAGCCUGUGAAGGUGUGCUGUGAGGCAUGCUGGAGGUAUCAGAAGUGCGAAUGCUGACAUAAGUAACGAUAAAGCGGGUGAAAAGCCCGCUCGCCGGAAGACCAAGGGUUCCUGUCCAACGUUAAUCGGGGCAGGGUGAGUCGACCCCUAAGGCGAGGCCGAAAGGCGUAGUCGAUGGGAAACGGGUUAAUAUUCCCGUACUUGGUGUUACUGCGAAGGGGGGACGGAGAAGGCUAUGUUGGCCGGGCGACGGUUGUCCCGGUUUAAGCGUGUAGGUAUGUGUUCCAGGUAAAUCCGGUUCACUUUAACACUGAGGCGUGACGACGAGGCACUACGGUGCUG
rnacentral:rRNA from 1 species